rnacentral:rRNA from 1 species
UCCCAGUUCGGAUCGCAGGCUGCAACCCGCCCUGCGUGAAGUCGGAAUCGCUAGUAAUCGCGGAUCAGCAUGCCGCGGUGAAUACGUUCCCGGGCCUUGUACACACCGCCCGUCACACCAUGAGAGUCGGGAACACCCGAAGUCCGUAGCCUAACAGCGAUGAGGGCGCGGCCGAAGGUGGGUUCGAUAAUUGGGGUGAAGUCGUAACAAGGUAUC